rnacentral:tRNA from 10 species
GGGGUUGUAGCUCAGCUGGGAGAGCGCUUGAAUGGCAUUCAAGAGGCCGCGAGUUCGAUCCUCGCCAGCUCCACCA